rnacentral:rRNA from 1 species
ACAGAGGGUGCAAGCGUUAUUCGGAAUCACUGGGCGUAAAGCGUACGUAGGCGGUUUGGUAAGUCUGAUGUGAAAUCCCCCGACUUAAUCGAGGAAGUGCAUUGGAAACUACUAGACUAGAGUAUAGGAUGGGAGAACGGAAUUCCUGGUGUAGAGGUGAAAUUCGUAGAUAUCAGGAGGAACAACGGUGGCGAAGGCGGUUCUCUGGACUAUUACUGACGCUGAGUGUACGAAAGCGUGGGGAGCAAACAG